rnacentral:rRNA from 1 species
GGAAGAACAAGUGCUAGUUGAAUAAGCUGGCACCUUGACGGUACCUAACCAGAAAGCCACGGCUAACUACGUGCCACCAGCCGCGGUAAUACGUAGGUGGCAAGCGUUAUCCGGAAUUAUUGGGCGUAAAGCGCGCGCAGGUGGUUUCUUAAGUCUGAUGUGAAAGCCCACGGCUCAACCGUGGAGGGUCAUUGGAAACUGGGAGACUUGAGUGCAGAAGAGGAAAGUGGAAUUCCAUGUGUAGCGGUGAAAUGCGUAGAGAUAUGGAGGAACACCAGUGGCGAAGGCGACUUUCUGGUCUGUAACUGACACUGAGGCGCGAAAGCGUGGGGAGCAAACAGGAUUAGAUACCCUGGUAGUCCACGCCGUAAACGAUGAGUGCUAAGUGUUAGAGGGUUUCCGCCCUUUAGUGCUGAAGUUAACGCAUUAAGCACUCCGCCUGGGGAGUACGGCCGCAAGGCUGAAACUCAAAGGAAUUGACGG